UACGUAGGGUGCGAGCGUUGUCCGGAUUUAUUGGGCGUAAAGAGCUCGUAGGCGGUUUGUCGCGUCGGCCGUGAAAUCUCCACGCUUAACGUGGAGCGUGCGGUCGAUACGGGCAGACUUGAGUUCGGUAGGGGAGAGUGGAAUUCCUGGUGUAGCGGUGAAAUGCGCAGAUAUCAGGAGGAACACCGGUGGCGAAGGCGGGUCUCUGGGCCGAUACUGACGCUGAGGAGCGAAAGCGUGGGGAGCAAAAGGG
rnacentral:rRNA from 1 species